rnacentral:lncRNA from 1 species
GAAGGGUAGCAAACAUGGCUACACACUUCAAUGCAGCGAAGCGAGUUUCUCGAACACACUUUCUUGCAAGUGCACUCCACAGCAAGUAUCACUAAAUUUACCUGUCUGA